GUGCUUAUAGCUCAAUUGGAUAGAGCGCCAAACUACGAAUUUGGAGGCUGAAAGUUCGAAUCUUUCUAAGCAUA
rnacentral:tRNA from 1 species